CUGCCUGCAGGCCUUGACCCCAAGUGUCAAAGUGGCCCUGUGACCAGGCACGGACGCAAUGUCCUGGAGCAGGGGAAGCUGUUCUCGAGGCCAGUGCUAAAUCUCCGAUCCGGUGGGCAGUUAGAAAAUGGGAAAUGCCACCCUUAAUUGCAGCCAACGUGCUUUAUGCACCUGCACCUUUCCUUCUGAUCUUUCCCACACGGAACAGCCUGAUUUAAAUGCACCAUUAGAGUGCAAUUCAAAAAAUGCACCCUGGCAAAGUCACACUCUGGUUCCAGAGCAUCGGGACAGGAAGUGAUAGCAGUCCAUCCUGGCAGCAGAAACCAGCCAUCAGGAGCUGGAAGCCCAGGGCCAGGCCCACAGGGCUGCUCCAUGUGGCAUGGCCCGCAGCUGCACAGGGUGCCUGGCUGAGCCACCGUAGAUAGACUUCCAGGUGACCACACUGUGCCCUCCAGCACUGCAGCCAGUCCAGCCCCACAGGUCAUGGACAGAAAGCUGAAGGGCCCUGCGUGGAGGAUCCGGAGUCCAUCAACACCCCGUCCUCUCUGCUGGGCCUGCCCCGUCAGGGGAACAACUAGCCUUGGGCUGAUGUGCCCCCGCCAUGAUGACGGCCCUGCCCCUGCUCCCCGGCACCUCUGCAUCCCCCACUGGACACUUGGCCGGCUCCUGAGAUCACCUUGAGGACAGAGACCACGCCUGUUUGUCUGAGCUCAAAGGUGUUGCUGCUUUCCUCUGUUCAACCCCCUUAGGCAGGUUCUAGCAGACCCCCCUCUUUGGGAGAAGAGACCCCAUCUCGGAGGUUGAGUCGUGACCCCAGGUCAUAGAGCACUGGUGGAGCAGGACUAGGCCCAGGUCUGCAGGACACAGGGGGGCCGCACUCCCCACCCCAGUUCAUCACCACACAGUCUCAGGUACGCCGCCCUCUCCUCCCA